GGACAUUUUUGCAAAGUGGAAUCAUCCCAGAUCACCCAUGGUGCAGGCUCUGAGAGAAGAUGGCCAGUGAGACCCCAUCACUGCUUGGGGCGAGGUCUUCACCCUCAGAUGUGAUGCUGAGGUAGGACCUUCCCGACAGCAGAGCCAUCUGCCCCGGCAAGACAUCCAAAGACAUCCUCCUGGGCGUGAGUUAUGCAGGUAGGCAACUGCUAAAUUCGUUCAAGUAACUCCUAAGCGGUGUGGUGUGGCUUUGGAAAUCAGCAUAUGCUUUAAUCUAUGGAUUUACUCCGCAUACAUUUACAGUCAUCAACAUCACUUCUGUCCAUGUCGAGACGUACGUAUAUGUUUCUACCGCUAUUCAGACUCCUAAAAUAACUGGCACUUUGCCCACAGGCAAACACACUUGAGUCUGAAAAUUUCACAAAAAUAGUUAUGGGGAAAAAGGUCAGAGCUGAUUCAGUGGUGGUUCGGCCCUGAAAUCUGAGCCCCGUUGGGACCCAUGGAGGGAAGCACGUGUGGGCUUUGUCUGAAGAGCCGAUGGAUUCGUCAAAGCCACUGAAACUGGUCCCUGCAGAAUAUCUGAAGAGCUCCAGUCCUUUGGAAUGGGGUCUGGUGAGCAGAGGAAGAGACGAUGGAAAUCUACUGCUCCUGGAUCCUAAUCAAGACAAGGUCAGAACAAAGAUGAUGAGUGAGACAAGUGACAUGGCAGUUAUUAAACAUACAGAUUGCAAAAGCCAACAACUUGAAGUUGUGUUCUGUUCAAAAAUCAAUUAAUCGCAGAGUUGAUUCCUGGAGUUUGCUUCACACAAGCUGGUAGAGCUUCAUGCUUUCCAGGAGCACUAGGCCAACAAGUACACCUCUUUAUGCUCAGAGAAAGCACAUAUACUCCCAUCACCUGUAUAGCACCACGUUAAGGAAGAAAACAGGAAGAUUGUACAUAAGAGUUUAUUUUUACGUGUUGACUGAACACGCACCACAGUGGUUAAACCAAAGAUGUUUACUUAUUACUGAAUUUAUAUCCAUCAUAUAUCUAAGUAUUAGUUGAAAGUGAAAGU
rnacentral:lncRNA from 1 species